rnacentral:rRNA from 1 species
UACCAGCUCUCCGAGUUGUAGGGAUGAUUAUUGGGCUUAAAGCGUCCGUAGCUGGCUUAGCAAGUCUCCUGUUAAAUUCAGCGACCUAAUCGUUGAGCCGCGGGAGAUACUACUAGGCUAGGAGGCGGGAGAGGUCGACGGUACUUUCGGGGUAGGGGUGAAAUCCUAUAAUCCCGGGAGGACCACCAGUGGCGAAGGCUGUCGACUAGAACGCGCUCGACGGUGAGGGACGAAAGCUGGGGGAGCGAACCGGAUUAGAUACCCGGGUAGUCCCAGCUGUAAACUAUGCGGGCUAGGUGUUGGGGUGGCUACGGGCCACUUCAGUGCCGCAGGAAAGCCAUUAAGCCCGCCGCCUGGGGAUACGGCCGCAAGGCUGAAACUUAAAGGAAUUGGCGGGGGAGCACCACAAGGCGUGAAGCUUGCGGUUC